rnacentral:rRNA from 1 species
GUGGUAAUGCCGGAUGUUCCAGUUGAUCGCAUGGUCUUCUGGGAAAGCUUUCGCGGUAUGGGAUGGGGUCGCGUCCUAUCAGCUUGACGGCGGGGUAACGGCCCACCGUGGCUUCGACGGGUAGCCGGCCUGAGAGGGCGACCGGCCACAUUGGGACUGAGAUACGGCCCAGACUCCUACGGGAGGCAGCAGUGGGGAAUAUUGCACAAUGGGCGCAAGCCUGAUGCAGCGACGCCGCGUGAGGGAUGGAGGCCUUCGGGUUGUAAACCUCUUUUAUCGGGGAGCAAGCGAGAGUGAGUUUACCCGUUGAAUAAGCACCGGCUAACUACGUGCCAGCAGCCGCGGUAAUACGUAGGGUGCAAGCGUUAUCCGGAAUUAUUGGGCGUAAAGGGCUCGUAGGCGGUUCGUCGCGUCCGGUGUGAAAGUCCAUCGCUUAACGGUGGAUCCGCGCCGGGUACGGGCGGGCUUGAGUGCGGUAGGGGAGACUGGAAUUCCCGGUGUAACGGUGGAAUGUGUAGAUAUCGGAAAGAACACCA